AAAUGUGGUCAUAGAAAGGGCAAGAGUUCCUCACCAGACACAAGUAAGCUGUUGCUUAAUUUUGUCUUGCCACCUGAGCUCAUACUCCAACUGAAAGCAAACCAGAGGGAGAGGAAGAGAGAGGUGGAGGCUGCAGAAGUGGCAUUCUGUCCUGUGUAUUUGGAGCAUUGUGACUGAAGAGAACAAAGUUAUCCAGUUCUGGCUGACACUAAAGGGAAAGUCUCUUCUCGGAAGACAUAUCAGGGAUCUCAGGAGGAAGCCUGUUGUCCUUAUUCCUCCAGCCAAGCUCUGUAGUUGGAGGAACUCUGGAUAACUUCAUCAAGGGCCCAUGAAUGAAUCACACAUCAAAAGCAUCCAAAGCAGCUGGAAGUACCUGAGGCCAUGUGCAUAAAGUGUAAAAAGCACAUAACCCACUUUGAGAAGGUGUUCAUCACUUAAUGGAUUCUCUACCUGAAGAAAAGCAGAUCACGAACUCGGCAGCUUUAGGUGUCAGAAAGGCAGUUUCCAUUCUAAGCGGAAUGCAAGUGUUAUCUUAAAAAGUAUCUUAGAAGCACUUUCCCUCCCUUUGACCCAUAUAAAAUCUUUGGAAACCUUGUUAAAUGUCCAAGAAAUUGCAAUGUUUUUCAAAUGGCUAAGAUAGUUAAAUUCCAUUCUGGUGACCUUCUACACUGUAAGCAGUGUGUGUAAUCUUAAAUUUGAAGAGGAAUUCUCUAAGGAAAACCUCAUUAAUGUGUUCUGUAAGUGCAUGCAGUUUUGCAAGUGCAUUAGCAUGGUCACAUAGGAGUGUCAUAAUGUGUCACGGAGUUUGGCAUGAUGCAUCUGAUCUGAUCUGGCUGUCAGGAGGUGAUCUGGAGGAUGACAGAUAGAACUCCAGGACAAGCUGUCGGAGCACGUUGUCCAGGGAAGGCAGGGGAAAUAAGCGGGAAGUUUCUUCCUCGUCUAUUCUCAGCCACUGUUUGACAUGCCAUGAAAUGUAAGCAUAAUUCCCUUCUCUAAUAAAACAUUUAAUGUUUUUAUAAUCUGUCAUUGAUUGCCAAAUCAUAAUGGUAAGAUAUCUGUAGAUGAUCCAUGGAAUCACACCACUUUUAUAGUGUUUUCAAUUACAAUUUUAUUAAAGAGUGAAAGAUGUUUUGUGAGAAGUAUUGAGAAAUAGCUAUUCCAGAACAACUGGGAAGCUGGUUUUCACAGUAUUCUAGAUUCGUCUUCCAACCGUAUAAAAGCCAGGGGUUCCACUAGUUAAUUAUGUGCUGUUACACUUUAGUUUCAUUAAAAGUCAGUUAUAAUACAGACUAAAUACAGAGUGCCUGUUUUCUCUGUAUCUUUCAUUAUUUAACUUCCAUUUGCUGAAUACCCUCUUACUCAACAAUUCUCUAAGCUCUGUGGUCCCUUUCAUGACCGUCUCUCCCCAUCUAGAAAUCUUUCAGACUUCUAAUCAUUUGGUUGUGGUUCUGACCCUCUUUUUGAGAAAAGGUCCCAUAAGUUGUCCUGAAGAAAAGGUUUUGAAGGGUAUAUCCCUCUCUAAGGUACCAGCAGUACAGCAUGUUACUCUUGUAUAAAACUCUCAGAGUAGAGGUAUCUCUAAAACACUGUAGCUUUCCACUGCUUAAGUAUUCCUCUCACUAGGACUUACUGCCAUUGUUAUUUUCCCUUACUGUUUAAUUCUAAGAGCACAGUGAUAUGUGAUAUGUAUUUGUCUUGCUCUGUCCUCAAGGACAUACUAAUGUGCUGCUGGGUUAGGAAUACUUUCUUUAAAAGUAUUCAGAUGCUGGAAGACUUUUUUUCAGGGUAGCUGCAACCUGAGAACAUCUUUCUGUAGGGAAGAGAACAGUUCAGAAACUUCUUAACUGUUUAAAUGCA